rnacentral:lncRNA from 1 species
GAAUUUUGGUGGAGAAGUUAGUUUUUGAGAUUGAUAAAGAAAAAGUUAGGAACUUGGAAAAGAUUGAUAUUCUUGGUAUCUGACUUUGGUGCUGAUGUAAUGUUUCCAGAUGAUGAUUUCAGGGAUCUUGUUGACCGAGUUCCUCAAGGCUGCAGAAUGACAAUCAUUUCAGAUUCUUGCCACAGUGGUGGCCUAAUCGAUGAAGCCAAGGAGCAGAUUGGAGAGAGCACUAAGAAGGAGGACGAGGAGGAAGAAGAAUCUUCUUCUUCUUCUUCAAGGUUUGGCUUCCGCAAAUUCUUGCGCAGCAAAGUGGAAGGCGCCAUUGAGUCUCGAGGGUUUCACAUUGGAGGGAGCAACAAAGAUGAAGCCGAGGCGGAAGAAAUCAUCCAGACUAAGGAGAUUGAACUAGACGACGGAGAAAGGGUUCAUGCCAAAGACAAAUCUCUUCCUCUGCAGACC